rnacentral:rRNA from 1 species
AUUGAACGCUGGCGGCAUGCCUUACACAUGCAAGUCGAACGGGAGCACGGGAGCAAUCCUGGUGGCGAGUGGCGAACGGGUGAGUAAAGUAUCGGAACGUGCCCAGUCGUGGGGGAUAACGUAGCGAAAGUUACGCUAAUGCCGCAUACGAUCUAUGGAUGAAAGCGGGGGAUCGCAAGACCUCGCGCGAUUGGAACGGCCGAUAUCAGAUUAGGUAGUUGGUGGGGUAAAGGCUCAACAAGCCGACGAUCUGUAGCUGGUCUGAGAGGACGAGCAGGCACACUGGGGCUGAGAGACGGCCCAGACUGCUACGGGAGGCAGAAGUGGGGAAUGUUGGACAAUGGGCGAAAGCCUGAUCCAGCCAUGCCGCGUGCAGGAUGAAGGCCUUCGGGUUAUAAACUGCUUUUGUACGGAACGAAGAGGUUUGGCCUAAUAAGCUGAGCUCAUGACGGUACCGUAAGAAUAAGCACCGGCUAACUACGUGCCAGCCGCCGCGGUAA